rnacentral:lncRNA from 1 species
UUUCAUCCAGCCAAGCGAGGCGGGAGGGCGCUGCGCCCUUCGCGGGGCUCCGCUGGGGGGCAGCGGGGAGCCCGGGGGGAGCCCCGCGGCCAUCUCGCCCUACGCCCCGGGGGAGGAAAGGAGGACCCCGGGGUCGUGCUCCGGGGCCGUGCUGUGGGGCAGGCAGCCCUCCCCGAGCCCCCGGCCGGGCUCCUGAGGCAGCACGCCGCCCCGCCAGCCCAGGUGCGGCCGCCUCCGGAGGGAGGGAAGGGGAGGGAAGGGAGCGGAGCGCCGCGGGCGCGGCUCGCCGGGGAGCAGCGCGGGGGUGGGGUGGGGUGUGGAGGCAGGCAGGAAGGAAGGAAGGAAGGAGAAAACGAGCGAGCAGGGGGAGAGGAGGGAGCCCAAGCGGCCAGCAGGCCCUCUCCUCCUUCCCCUCCGCGGCUGCUCGUCGCCAGGAGGCACGGGCUUCUCGUUAAGCUGCCUGCGAGUUUUACCGGACGGUGCGUGAAGCUCGCAGUGGCGGAGUGUAACAGCGCUGGGAUGCCCUUACUGAUCGGAGAGGCAGAGCCGGGACGUGGCACCCCCGUGUUGCCGCAGCAACUCGCCGCAGUGCGCCCGGCCGGUGCCGCCCCGCUGCGCGCCGCGCUCCCGACGCCGCGAGUUGCUCCACAGGAAUUUCUGGCGGCGUGAGCCUCCGCUCCGAGGCGGCGAAGGUGGCUGAGCUUUCCUCUGAAACAGAAGCCUUCCGAAAUAAAAAAAUAAAAUAAAGUAAAAUAAUAAUAAAA